rnacentral:pre_miRNA from 1 species
UUUUUAUCAUAAGUAUAUCCCAUACAAUAUUUGGGAUAUACUUACACUAAAA